GUAGGCAUAAUCAUUUCUUAAUUAGCAACCCCGUAAUUAACUGUCCUCAUAAUCUAUGGAUAAACAAGAGAACCGCUAUAGGUUAUUUGAGGUGCCAAUGAGUUGGCAAGUAGUAAGUAGUAUUCAUGCGAGGGUACUUGUGAAUCGAGUAAAGCCUUACGUGAUUUUAGCAUUAGUGGAUAAUCAAUGGUGCGGAGCAAAAUAAGGUGAGAUAAAUGGAUAGGGUUGGAAUCAAGUAAAAGUACAACGAAUUAACGUUGGACUUCAUCACAUAGUAAUUAAGGCCUGGUAGCACCUCAGCCGAAUCCAGAAAGAACUCGGGCACGCAUGCUCUCGUCUCAACAACUCGGCCAUCUUUGUGGAAUUCAAGCUCGAAGGAGAGAGAAAAGCGGGAAGGUAUGUGAAGGCCAAUUGGGAUGCAACUGUAAAUAUUAAGGAAAUAAAUGCAAGUAUUGGAAUUAUUAUAAGAAACGCAGAUGGUGAUGUUUUGGCUUCUCUAUGUGAUAUUGUCAAUUAUUGUUCGAAGCCAGCCAUUGCAGAAGCUAUUGCAUUGAGGAGAGAGCCUUGAUAUUUUGCAUUGAGUUGGGAAUGAUGACACAAGUGUGUCUGGAGGGAGAUGCUGCCCAGGUUAUUAUCAUAGCUGUUACAAGUAAGGAAGAGAUAUGCACUGAAUAUGGUGUGUUGAUAGAACAUGCUAGGAGGAUGUUGCUUGAUAGGGAACAAUGGAGGGUGAACUUCGUCCAUAGAGAGGCUGAAAAAUUCAGUGGCUCACACACUUGCAAAGUUAGCUUGAGGGAAGAGAGGGUAUAGAUUGAGGAAUCUCCUAACCAAGUUCUCUAAUAAUACUUUGCAUAAUAACAUUGAUUUGGCAGACAUUAUUGGAGGUUAUAAUUUAAUAUUUAAAUUUCAAACUUCUGAUCA